rnacentral:rRNA from 1 species
UGAUUUCGGGCUUUAUUUGCGCAGGAUAGGUGGGAGGCUUUGAGAGUGUUUUUGAGGGAACAUUUGAGCCAUUGGUGAGAUACCACUCUUAUAAAGCUAGAAUUCUAACCUUAUACCGUUAGCCGGUUAAGGAACAGUCUCUGGUGGGCAGUUUGACUGGGGCGGUCGCCUCCUAAAAGGUAACGGAGGCGCACAAAGGUUUCCUCAGAUCGGUCAGAAAUCGAUCGUAGAGCGUAAAGGCAUAAGGAAGCUUGACUGCGAGACCUACAAGUCGAGCAGAGACGAAAGUCGGUCUUAGUGAUCUGACGGUUCCGAGUGGAAGGGCCGUCACUCAACGGAUAAAAGUUACUCUAGGGAUAAC